rnacentral:rRNA from 1 species
UACGGGGGGAGCAAGCGUUGUUCGGAUUUACUGGGCGUAAAGGGCGCGUAGGCGGCCACCGCAAGUCGAUUGUGAAAUCUCCGGGCUUAACCCGGAAAGGUCAACCGAUACUGCGGGGCUAGAGUGCAGAAGGGGCAACUGGGAAUUCUCGGUGUAGCGGUGAAAUGCGUAGAUAUCGAGAGGAACACCUGCGGCGAAGGCGGGUUGCUGGGCUGACACUGACGCUGAGGCGCGAAAGCUAGGGGAGCGAACGGG